GCCAGACCUGCUCCAUGUGCCCUCGGUUCCAUGGGGCCCCACAGGGUCCCAAUGGUCCCUUGCUUCCAUGAGGCACUGAGGUGCCAUAAUGUCACCCCCUUGGUGACACAGAGCCCUGAAGGGUCAGAAUGAUCUCCAUGGUUCCAUCAGGUCCCACAGAGUCAUAAUGAUCUCUGGGUUGCAUGAAGCCCUGCUGUGUCACCACGGCCCCUUGGUUCCAUGGGCUCCAGUGGUGCCACAAUGAUCCCCUUGGUUUCAUGAGGUCCCCACAGUGUCCCAGUGAUCUCCAUGGGAAGGAAAGAACCCAGCCCCAGUGUUGCAGGGGCAGUCACCAGAGGCCAAGCCAGCCAGACUUGAUGGAAGGAAAGCCCAGAGCCCCAGUGCUUCAGGGACAGAUGAGAAGCCGCCCUCGACAUGCCAAGGUCAGCUAGACCUGUCAGGUGGUCCCCAGGAGGCCCAGCCAGCCAGACCUGUUCCCUGUUCCCUUGGUUUCGUGGGACCCCACAGUGUCCCAAUGGUCUCCUUGGUUCCAUGAGGCCCUGGAGUGUCACAAUGUUCCCCUUGCUUCUGCAGUGUCACAAUGGCCCUGUGCUUCCAUGAGGCCUUGCAAUAUCACAAUGGCUUUGUGGUUCCACAAAGCCCUGAUGUGUCACCAUGGCUCCUUGGCUCAAUGCGCCUUCGCUAUGUCACAAUGGCUCCUCUGUGACACUACAGGAUCCACAAGGUCACCAUGGACCCUUGGUUCCUUGGCACCUCCGAGUUUCACAGUGGUCUCCUUGAUUCUAUGAGGCACCACAGUGUCACAUGGCCCUUUGGUUCCAUGAGGUUUUGUAGUGUCACCGUGGUCACUGUCAGAGGCUGCAUGAGAUCAAUGUCCCGAGACACCUUGGGAUGCUCGGAAUGCCCAUGUGGGGCCAGGGCCGGGUCAGGCCUUGGCUUGUGGUGGGACAGAGCCCCGCCCCCAGCCCUGGCACAGCUGUCAAUCACAGAACAGAGGUGCAAUCACACGCUAGCACCUGCUGCCUGCCCUGACUCUGAUUGGCCAAGCCACUGGCAGUCCCACCUCAGGGGCGGACCCAUGAAGGCCCAGGGGGUUAAAAGCCAGAGCACGAGGCCAGCCCAUGCUCUGGAUCCUUCCUUCUGCUGGGGUUUCUCUGUCAGCGAUGCUGGAACCUGAACAGCUGGUACCUAUUGUUGGUGACAGAGGAUGACUGGUCAAGGCAAGCACAGUGGAGAGGUUACGUGGACUGUCCAGGGAUGAGUUCUUGGUAGGUAAGUAAAAAUAAUGCAUGCCUUAAGAAUUAAUUGGAUGAGACAACUUUAAAAGACCUUGAAACUGUAUAUUUUGGGACCAUUUUGCAGUGCUUUUCCUGCACGCUGAGCCUGGUCUGCACAGCAUGCAAAACUUUAGAUAAGAUAAAAGUAAAGAAGAAGCUGAAGACCAAAAAAGUCCUGUGCAUUUCCUUUUCCCUGGCACAGAACUACUACAGGAGGGUUUCCCCCAUCCUGGGAGCCCCCAGAAGGGCCCAAUGUAAAACAAACAUUAAUAACUGGUGCCCUGACAAUGUUUGUAAUAAGUUGUUUUUUCCAUAAAGUUGUUUACUGCAGGGUCUUGUCUUCAUUAGCCGAGCAUGUGAAAUGUGUUGGUGAAAUGACCAAUGAGGUCCACUAGUAGCAAACCAAGGUAUAAAAGAAGAGGAUUGAAUAAACUGGUAGAUUUCCGCCCUUAGCCUUCUGAGUCUGUGUCAUCUCUGACUCAAUGGUGACUUUUUGGGAUCUGUGGGG